CUCAUUAAAUCAGUUAUAGUUUAUUUGAUGGUCUCUUUGUUCUUCUUUUUACCUACUUGGAUAACCGUGGUAAUUCUAGAGCUAAUACAUGCGCAAGGUCCCGAGCGCGGAGAGUAGGACUUCACGGUUCUAUUCUUGCAUGCGUAGAGGGAUGUAUUUAUUAGGUUAAGCAACCAGCUAUUUUUUCAUUUCUGGUGAUUCAUAGUAACUCUUUCGGAUCGCAUUCAUG
rnacentral:rRNA from 1 species